rnacentral:rRNA from 1 species
UACAGAGACUGCAAGCGUUAUUCGGAGUUCACUGGCGUAAGGUGCGCAGGCGCCGGUGUGUCAGAAUGUGAAUCCCGAGGCUCAACCUCGGAACUGCGUUCUGAAACUACUCGGCUAGAGGUAACUGGAGAGGGUAACGGAAGUUCAACGGUGUAGCAGUGAAAUGCGUAGAUAUCGAUGAGGACACCGGUGGCGAAGGCGGCUCACUGGCCGUACUGACGCUCGAGGCGACGGACAGCGUGGGAUCAACAGGAUAGAACCCGUA